GACGAACGCUGGCGGCAUGCCUAAUACAUGCAAGUCGAACGCAGUGGGGACGGGUGAGUAACACGUGGGUAACCUCCCAUCAGAGGGGAUAACACUUGGAAACAAGUGCUAAACCGAUACUGAUGGAUGAACCCGCGGUGCAUUAGCUAGUGGGUGAGGUAACGGCGAACCAAGGCCACGAUGCAUAGCCGAGCUGAGAGGGUGACCGGCCACACUGGAACGUAGACACGGCCCAGACUCCUACGGGAGGCAGCAGUAGGGAAUCUUCUGCAAUGGACGAAAGUCUGACCGAGCAACGCCGCGUGAGUGAAGAAGGUUUUCGGAUCGUAAAGCUCUGUUGUUAGAGAAGCGGUAUCUAACCAGAAAGCCACGGCUAACUACGUGCCAGCAGCCGCGGUAAGAC
rnacentral:rRNA from 1 species